GCCGGGAUAGCUCAGCUGGGAGAGCAACAGACUGAAGUUCCUAUGGCUUUCUGGAGGUCCCGUGUUCAAUCCACGGUCCUGGCA